rnacentral:rRNA from 1 species
CUACAGGCUUAACACAUGCAAGUCGAGGGGCAGCAUGAACUUAGCUUGCUAAGGCCGAUCGGCGACCGGCGCACGGGUGAAGUAACACGUAUCCAACCUGCCGUCUACUCUUGGACAGCCUUCUGAAAGGAAGAUUAAUACAAGAUGGCAUCAUGAGUUCACAUGUUCACAUGAUUAAAGGUAUUCCGGUAGACGAUGGGGAUGCGUUCCAUUAGAUAGUAGGCGGGGUAACGGCCCACCUAGUCUUCGAUGGAUAGGGGUUCUGAGAGGAAGGUCCCCCACAUUGGAACUGAGACACGGUCCAAACUCCUACGGGAGGCAGCAGUGAGGAAUAUUGGUCAAUGGGCGAGAGCCUGAACCAGCCAAGUAGCGUGAAGGAUGACUGCCCUAUGGGUUGUAAACUUCUUUUAUAAAGGAAUAAAGUCGGGUAUGGAUACCCGUUUGCAUGUACUUUAUGAAUAAGGAUCGGCUAACUCCGUG